UGCUGAGUUCUUCCUUCCUCUUCCUCAUCCUCUGGGCUCGCUCUCUCCACUCCUGCAGUGCCCUUUUCUCUCUGGAGAAAGAGAAGGUUAAUGUCAUAAGUUGCAGGCAGCUUCGAGCCAAGGCUACAGGAUUUCUCUGUCAUUUUACAGCUUGUGGUGCACCUGUCUCCAGGGGGCACAGGCUGGGGGCAUGCAUGCCCUCUGGGUGGGAGUCUGAAUCACAGCCUCUUCCUCCGGGCACAUCUGGGCAGAGCCGGGAAUGCCGGGUUCUAUCCCGAGGCCCUGUGUGUCGGUGCUGCCAGCAGUGACUGACGCUGGGGGCCAACCCCACCCAGUGACCAAGGAAAAGGCAUCAGGACCCCUUUCAGAUCCGGCCUCCUCUUGUCUCUCCCAUCAUCAUCCUGGAUGCCUGGGCCGCAGUCCGGAUUUUCCUCGACGCCUCCACCUGACAUCUGCUCUCCUUCCUUGCGGUCACAGCAGCUCAACCCUUCUGGGCUCUACCCGGCCCACAGCCCACCUCUGACCACCUUCCUGCUGAGGGCUCCAUCCUGAGUCAGUGCUGCCUGGGAUCAGAGCCUGGCUGCGUCCUCUCCCGGUGCCACCUCAGGGCACAGGUGGUCUCAGCAGCUACCUCAGCCUCUGCAGAGCCUGUUUCCUAAGGACCCUUGUCCUGGGUGUGAAAAGAAAAUAAAAUCUCGGCCCCCAAACUCACUGUGCCAAAGGCAAAGGUAAAAUGUGGAUUCAGUGAGCACUGAUCGAAGCCUCACAAGAAUGUGGCCACUUGGUUCACCGCCUGCCCCCACUUUUACUAUUCUUUCCUCCUUUCCCUGCUGCCCAUUCUUUCUCCUUUAAACGCUGACAUCCUCAAAGCUCUCUCUGGAGAAAGCACAGGCCACAGAUCUUACUGUCACUUAUGUCUCUUUUCCCCGGGCGCAUCCUCAACCUUGGCAAACUCAGCCUCUGAAUGGACUGAGCUCUGCCACAGAUGCUCUGGGCUUGAUGCGGAUCCCCGUUACCCUAAACCUGGGACCGGCACUCGCUGCACAGUAAACGGUGGCAAUGUGGAGGGACACUUUAAAAGCUGGACCUGAUGUUUUAAAAGAUAAUUUAAAAUAAUUGUACAAAUUCGCAAAGAUCAAGAAAAUCCCCCGUUGCUUUUAAGUUUUACCUGAAAACCUGUCUUGGCUU